rnacentral:lncRNA from 1 species
GUGACAGGGGUUCAAUGGCCCUGCCAACUCCUUGGAGAUGCGCCCUUGUACACUGGGGGACGUCCGACCUACCAUGCUGCUGGACGGGUCUUUACGAACAUCCCACCGAGGGGACUCUAAUUCCAGAGCGCCGGGAGCUCCCGCCAUUGCGCUGUUCUUUGUUGUAUUUGUUUAUUGUGUAUUUUUUGUCUUUAGUAUUUGUUUUUGUUCUUCUUGUGGUUCACUUUUGUGUUUGUGUUGUUUUUAUACUAAUAGCAUUAUGUUUAACAUAAUGAUACUCAAACUCCACUGCUCUAGACGGGAC